rnacentral:rRNA from 1 species
UACGAACUGUGCGAACGUUAUUCGGAAUCACUGGGCUUACAGGGUGCGUAGGCGGCCUUGUCAGUCAGGCGUGAAAGCCCCGGGCUCAACCUGGGAACGGCGCUUGGGACGGCGAGGCUGGAGUUCGGGAGAGGAGAGUGGAAUUCCCAGUGUAGAGGUGAAAUUCGUAGAUAUUGGGAAGAACACCGGUGGCGAAGGCGGCUCUCUGGACCGACACUGACGCUGAGGCGCGAAAGCGUGGGGAGCAAACAGG